GCCCAAAUUAAAGAGUUCCAGAGAAAAAGAAACUGCUUUGCUGCUUUUGACAGUUUGACACCAAAAAUCGUUUGCCAUGCACAGUGAUUUACGCAGGAAAGCUCUAAUCAACGAACAGGUUAACGUUGUUAAGGGUGAGAGAUGGCGUUUGUAAUGGAGUUUGCUGAGAAUCUGGUAUUAUGGAGGAUCCUAAAGAGAGGGAUAGGAAGUUCAGGGAGCACGUGUAUGCGGUGAGAGACCGGUGCCAAAAGACCAAGGAGAUGUGGGCGUUACCUCUCCGUCCCUACGGAUUUUGGACCUUUGAGCGCCACAAUUCGCAGCUCCGUUGGGAUGCCCAGAUUAGCCAGGUUGCAGGCCGGAGGGACCCCUAUGAUGAUCUCCUCCAACACAGCUAUGAUCCCGUCACCCCCCAAAACUAAUCGAGUGCGUAUAAGGUCAAGCCGUCUGCAGAAUUCAAGUAGAGGUUUCUGUUGCUGUUGGAAUUUGGUGUUGUCGUAAAAAUAUUGUUCGGUUUUAGUCUGUUCGAAUAAGAGUCCGUGCAUCUUCGGUGUUGUGUGAGAAGUUGACAUUUCGCGUGUUAAUUCUACAAGUUUUCUAUUUCUCGUUUUA